rnacentral:lncRNA from 1 species
AUGGUUAUUAUGUGCACAGUAUGUUUAUCAGAUGCAGCCAGAUGGUUCAACCACGGUGUACGGAGAGAGCGUGGUCAUUCCUACGUUCCUGCAAUGAUGCAGAGCAAACGAGCGGAGCCCCAAGACAGUAGGAGCACUCAGUUAAGAGUUACAGGACAGAAAAGCCUGCAAGAAAAUAGCACUAAUGAAGAGCCCCCAGAUGAGAAGAUUGCUCCAUUGAGUGUAUGUAUAUUUCUCUUACCGACUUUGAAUAUACUUAAAGCAGAGACCAAGGGUAACUGAUGUGCCUCCAGAUUAAAGUGUAAUUAAUGAUUUUGUUCAAUAGAGACUACAUAGCUUCCUAGCGUUUUUGUAAACAUUCGUGUUUUCUCCUUAGACAGGGCCUUGAAUACUAAUUCUGGUGGAUUCAUAGCCAUAUUUUUCUUUGUUUUUAAUUUCCCUUGACAAAAAUUUGAGAAAUGCCCAUUACUCACUAAUUUUCUAUGAAACAGGUAUAUGUAAGUUUUUCUCAGUAACCCCCUUACAUUUAGUAGCACUUAAACCAUUUUAAAGCCAUUUUCAUUCAUUUGAAUUUCCAUUAACAACUAGAAACAGUGUUCAUUACCAUUAGAAUAUUAUAUAACUUCUUGAUCUACUAUAUUUAAUAUGGGGAUUCUGUACAAUAUUUUAAAGAUACAUAGCAGUAAUUUGGAGAAACUCAGAUUUUAAAAUUGCUUGUGACUCAUCUACCAUUAGCAUUAAAUAGUCAUGUUCCAGAGCUUUAGAUUACAUAUCUCUCUAAAAUAUGUGUUUUGGGGGUGGGCCAUUUCAACAAAAGGCAUUUUUUUUUAAAGGCUUUAUCCUAGAUUUUAACAGUGUUAAGUGUUCCUUGUAGAUGUUUCAGAUAAUGCAAAAAAAAAGUGUUUAAAAAGUUUCUUCUAAUUUUUAUGUAUUUCUUUACAUUCCUUUUUUCUGUACCUUUUUUUCAGUUUAGAAGUUGUUAUUGUAUAUUUCUCUAACAUUAAAUGGUCUUCAAAAAUAUGAUUUCUAGUGUCUAAAUAGUGCUUUGUCUUAUAGAUAGAUAUACUGUAAUUUAUAUAACUAUUUUCCUGUGGUUGGAGGAUUGAGAUUGUUUCCCAGACUUUGCCAUUUUAGGUAUCAGUGGACAUUGUACCACGGAAGUUUUUU